UUGCUUAUACAUUUACUGCACUGUUUAUAAUUAAACUAAGAUAAUUAGGAUUUUGAUGCAAACUUACCACCAGCUAGCUACAUGUAGCAGCAUAAAUGGUACGCUGCCACUUUAAGACCAAUUUCAGCUGCUGCAUAUAAGCAGGUCUCUACCUGCCACAAGACUACUUGCGUCAUGACGUCAACUCAUUCUGCUUCCUUUGUUUGCUGAACUGUGCUGGGUAAGCGUGGCUGUUUCUUUGUUUGUCAGCUUUUAUCGUAGCAAUUAAUGCAAGCUGGUCUGAUCUGUUUAGCCUCCCUUGCUGCUGCUCCAAACCCUGGACCAAUCUGUUCGGUUGUUUGCUGCCGGUAAGGUAAGCGCUAGCGUGGGUAGGUAACAUCCAUCUCAUGUAAACGAAGCCUUUAUGUAGUAUUCUGUUACAGCUGCGCUCCAUAGGCGAACUUGUGGAUCUGUUUAUCUGGCCGUGUGGUAAUUUACAGGUAAGCAGCUACCGUAAGUUAUAGUUUUUAUCAGCAGUUGUAUUAAUAAUCUACUUUAUUUUUAAGCCUCCUGCUGAGUCCCUGACGGCUAUUAUAUUUGGAUGUACACUCGCUGCUGUUUUGCCUACGAUGAAAUGUUUUAAAAGAUUUGUAUGAACUUUCCCCCGCUGCAGGGAGCAUUGAUGGCACUACGAACGGGAUAAAAAGCAAUACUGUAGUGCUAUUGUAUCACUGUUUUACUCAUUGUUUCAUUUUUUGUCUUUCUUUUAGGGACUGAGGCUUCUGUGGUGGCGGUGGUGAUCCCUGGUGGCGGUGUCUUGUGUGUUUUGUUGGAGCACCGUGUUUUUGUAGUGUGUAGGGUGAUUCCUUUUCUUCACUGGAUGUUGCCCCUUUCCUCGCUACUCUCCCCCCACUGUCAAACCAGCACCACUGCGCCAGCCUGAGGAAAGCGGAAUAUCAUCGCAAAGUCCGUCUAUAUUAACAGCUUUGACAGCAGGUGCCACUUUAUCUUAGCAGAAAAUUGAUGUCGCGAAUCCACUUCCUGAGCCUUGUCAUUUAUCUCAGGACCUGGAUCAGCAUUUGCACCACAAGACGUUUAAUAAAUGCUCUCCCCUAAUUUGGUGGCAAGCAGAUGGUUCCUGGUGUUGGUGUUAAAUUAUAGGGUGAGGAAGUGUUUGUCAGCAUCAGCAAGGUGCGAUGUGAAGUAAAGGAAGCAGAGCUGCAAAUCCCAGUGGAGAAAAGAAAAAAAAUACAUGGCUACAAAAAAAGCAGCUGUUUCUUGGAGAAAUGGCUGCAUGCCUAAGCGCCUGCUAUGUCUUGAUGAUGCGGAAUCACAACGAACAUCAAGCAGCCAUUUCAAUAAAUCUAGGAGAGAAGCAGGAAGAACUAAACUGCAGGACCUUGCUAAAGUAAAUCCCUACAGAUUUUGUUAUAUUAGGGCCACAAUUUACAACAUAAAGUGAUGCAUAAUUGUGAAGUUGAUUAAACUUGGCUGUUAAAAUCAUCUGUUCUUUUAAUAGGAUUAGGCCUGGACUUUGACUGGACCAUUCUCACACAUGUACAUGCUUUGAUAGGAGCCAUUCUUCUGUGUCUUUGAUUGUAGGUUUCAUGAUGUUGUCUUUUUGUGUGCCUCUUUAUCAGGUAUGUUUCAGUUGACCCUGUCAUGCUAGCGUUGUUGGAUUUAUGGUAUCUCUGGGUUUUUAUGAUCAGCCUUAGAUCCCGUUUGCGUGGAGCUAAUCUUCAGUUGAGCCAUAACAUUUUUGUUGCAAUCCAGCUGCUGGUUUUCACAACACCAGUGACCAGAGCGUGUAAAUUUAGCUCUAGUGUGUGUCUUUCCUUUUACCAGACUUUUAUGAGUUGUUGUUUAUGCAAGUUAGAACUGUGUAUUCCUUGUGCUUAGCCAUUCUUUGUUCCUUUAACAUGUAGAUUCUGUCUGCCUGCAGAUAAUAUAUUUUGUGGCUUGAGUUCACCAAUAACUUUCUUCUUGCCAUUCUUCCACAGUUAUCCUGUCAAUAGAUUCUCCUACUGUUGCUGUGAGGAAUCUCUGCUGCUCAUCCAGAGUUGUAGACUUCUUGGCUGCUUCUCUGAUUAAGUCAGGUUAGGUACCAUAUCUUGGCAGGUUUGCAGUUAUAAUACUUUUUUACAUUUUCAAGAAAAUGGAUUAAACGGUCCUCUGUGAGAUGCUUAAAACAUUUUGUAUUGUUUUACAACUUAAUCCAGCUCCCCCUUGAUUAUCGUUGAUUCUAGUCUGUUGUGUUCACCAGAGCUGUCCCUUGUUUCGUUUAUUACCCCUGUGUGUAUUAUGUUAUGUUCCCACCUGUCUCAUUGUUGCCCACUGGAUUUUAGCGUCAAACUCUGUUUGGUACUUCUGUUUUUUAGGCUUAAAUUAAACUACUUGCAUCAUCA